rnacentral:rRNA from 1 species
AGAUUCACUCUGGCCAAGGAACUCGGCAAAAUAACCCCGUAACUUCGGAAGAAGGGGUGCUCUCUAGGGUGACAUGUUUAACAUAUGAAGCCCCGGGGAGCCGCAGUGAAUUGGUGGUGGCGACUGUUUACUAAAAACAUAGGUCUGUGCGAAGUCCUAAAGACGACGUAUACGGACUGACGCCUGCCCGGUGCUGGAAGGUUAAAAGGAGGGGUCAGCGCAAGCAAAGCUCCGAAUUGAAGCCCCAGUAAACGGCGGCCGUAACUAUAACGGUCCUAAGGUAGCGAAAUUCCUUGUCGGGUAAGUUCCGACCUGCACGAAUGGCGUAACGAUCUCCACACUGUCUCGGCCAGAGACUCGGUGAAAUUGCAGUCGCGGUGAAAAUUCCGUGUACCCGCAGAAAGACGGAAAGACCCUGUGCACCUUUACUAUAGCUUGACAUUGGAUUUUGGGCCUGCAUGUGUAGGAUAGGUGGGAGGCUGUGAACCCUGUACGCCAGUAUGGGGGGAGCCAUCCUUGAAAUACCACCCUUGCAUGUUUAAGAUCCUAACUUCUUCCGGUUAUCCCGGAGAAAGACAGUGUCUGGCGGGUAGUUUGACUGGGGCGGUCGCCUCCUAAAGUGUAACGGAGGCAUGCAAAGGUUCCCUCAGCCUGAUCGGAAACCAGGCGCUGAGUGCAAACGCAUAAGGGAGCUUGACUGUAAGAGAGACAUCUCGAACAGGAACGAAAGUUGGCGUUAGUGAUCCGGUGGUCCCGAAUGGAAGGGCCAUCGCUCAUUGGAUAAAAGGUACGCCGGGGAUAACAGGCUGAUCGCAUCCAAGAGUUCACAUCGACGAUGCGGUUUGGCACCUCGAUGUCGGCUCAUCACAUCCUGGGGCUGAAGCAGGUCCCAAGGGUACGGCUGUUCGCCGUUUAAAGUGGUACGCGAGCUGGGUUUAAAACGUCGUGAGACAGUUUGGUCCCUAUCUUCUGUGGGCGAAGGAGAAUUGAGAGGGCCUGUCCCUAGUACGAGAGGACCGGGAUGGACGCACCCCUGGUGAUCCUGUUGUCGCGCCAGCGGCAUAGCAGGGUAGCUAUGUGCGGAAGGGAUAACCGCUGAAAGCAUCUAAGCGGGAAGCCUGCCUCAAGAUAAGUUCUCCCCUCGAAAGAGCUGAAGGGCCCGGGUAGACUACCCGGUCGAUAGGCUGGAGGUGUAAGCGCGGCGACGUGCUCAGCUGACCAGUACUAAUAGCCCGAGCGGCUUAUUUUU